UUAACUUAUUAUCCUCAUUGUUUGUUAACCAUCCUUUGUGUGAUUAUUGUUAUUAAUCCUCGAAAAACAUAUUUAAUCUGGACUGGUUGAUACUAUGUUAUAAGACUGCUAUGUUAAUCAUUAGGAGAUAGAUUGUUGCAUAAUUUUCUGCAAAUAAUUUUAAUUUUGAGAUUGCUUUAUACUGAAACACAGGGCAGGCUUUUAUUUCUUACUUGGCAACUGUAGUUUAUAUUUGCUAUGUUGUAUUGUAGGCUAUUUCUGUGGCUGAAAGAGUUGCUGAUGAGUGUUGUGAACCUUCACCAGUCUUGCACAAUCCUCAGAUAGAGGUUCGGGGAGCCCAAAAGUGACUGAGUGGCAGCUUGUUUGAAGUUUACAUUCUUCUUUCCAUGGGCAAACACUGGGAUUGCUAAAGGGUGAGUAAGAUCUACUUCUUAAUUCCCUUAAAUUGUAAAAUAAUGUGGUGGGUUGUUGUUUAGGAGCAAGCAGGUGGCUUGCAUGGAGAGAAAAGGUGGAAUAUAUUGGGAGUGUUGUUUGUUUUGUGAAUGUUAACAUAUUGUUGUUCAAUUUGUUGUCAAUUUCUUGUAUUUUGUCUAAGUAAAUACAUAUAGUAUGCUGUGGUGGGUGGUUGUUGGAGAGAAAAGGUGGAGUAUUUUCUAUUAGGAGUAUUGUUUGUUUUGUGACUUAUAUUUUUGAAACUCAAUGUGCAAUGGUGAAAUUGUAGUG